rnacentral:lncRNA from 1 species
UCCUUCCCUCUGUCAGCAUUAGUGUUUGUUAUCUCCAUCCAUCUCCUCUGUCAGCCUUAAUGUUUGUUUACUCCAUCCUUCUCCUCUAUCAGCCUUAGUGUUUGUUCUCAGCCUUCCCUCUUCAGCCUAGUGUUUGUUGCUCCAUCCUUCUCCUCUGUCAGCCUUAGUGUUUUGUGCUCCAUCCUUCUCCUCUGUCAGCCUAGUGUUUGUUACUCAUCAUCUAUCUCCUCCUUAGUGUUUGUUGCUCCACCAUCUCCUCUGUCAGCCUUAGUGUUUGUUACUCCAUCCAUCUCCCCUUAGUGUUUGUUGCUCCAUCCAUCUCCUCUGUCAGCCUUAGUGGUUGUUGCUCCAUCCAUCUCUCUGUCAGCCUUAGUGUUUGUUCUCCAUCCAUCCCCCUUGGUUUGUUACCCAUCUCUCUCUGUCAGCCUUAGGUUUGUUACUCCAUCCAUCUCAUCUGUCAACCUUAGUGUUUGUUACUCCAUCCAUCUCCCCUUAGUGUUUGUUACUCCAUCCUUCUCCUCUGUCAGCCUUAGUGCCUUAAUGUUUGUUACUCUCCAUCCUUCUCCUCUAUCAGCCUGUAGUGUUGUUACUCCAAUCCUGCUCCUGUCACUUGUGUUUUGUAGCCAUCCUUCUCCGCUGUCAGCCUUAGUGUUUGCUCCAUCCUUCUCCUCUGUCAGCCUUAGUGUUUGUUACUCCAUCCAUCUCCCCGUAGUGUUUUGUUGCUCCAUCCUCCCUCUGUCAGCCUUAGUGUUUUGUUACC